AAAAUCAAAAUAUCUUUAUCGCGCCCUCUCGAAAAAAAACCUAGCGCAGCAGUCGGUCGCCAUGGACGCAUCCGUGAUCAAAGGUGUGGAAGGUCUGGAAUUGAACGGUAGUGAUGCAGCGAUUCGAAAAAGCAGGUUCGUUUCUUUUUUUUUGUUUGUAUAGCUCCUCUCGUAAGGAUGUUGUUGAAGAGGGCCUGAGAAAACACUUCGCAUCACGUGGAAUAAAGCUAAUACAUGCUUUUGCUCACGAACUCGACUUCAAUCGUACUAUUCUCUGCAGAUGCGGAUUAAUCUACGUUAACGAAGAAGAUGAAGAAAAGGCGUUGACGUUUGAUGGAAGUGACAUGGGAGGACGUAUUUUACGAUUUACGGCUUACCCUUUUGACAGCAAUCGCCUUGACCAUUUCUUUGCUACUCCCGAAGCACAAGACAAAUACCGACAGCGCGUGUAAAU